UCUGGUAUUUUGCUCAAGUAUGGUUUUCUUGGCCCAUCCACUUCUAAUGUGUUUUGUAACUAAUGCAAAAUGUGCAUUAGAAGUGGAUUGGUCAAGGGAAGCGUACUUGUGCAAAAUGCGGCAGU
rfam:Arabidopsis thaliana chromosome 3, complete sequence.